GCAAGAAGAUGCUCCCCACCCUUGGUCUUCAGACUGGAUGUAGCUCCCUUGCCCCUGGUACGUUGGAUGCUGCAGGACCCAACCAUCAUGGUACCCCUCCACUGCUCUCACUGAAGACAGAGGGUCAUUUCCAAGUGCAUACAGGCAGCCCUUGGAAAGUGCUUGUGUGAGAUGCAGUGGACCCUGG